UACAGAGGUCUCAAGCGUUGUUCGGAUUCAUUGGGCGUAAAGGGUGCGUAGGCGGCGCGGUAAGUCGGGUGUGAAAUCUCGGAGCUUAACUCCGAAACUGCAUUCGAUACUGCCGUGCUUGAGGACUGGAGAGGAGACUGGAAUUUACGGUGUAGCGGUGAAAUGCGUAGAUAUCGUAAGGAAGACCAGUGGCGAAGGCGGGUCUCUGGACCACUACUGACGCUGAGACGCGAAAGCGUGGGGAGCAAACAGG
rnacentral:rRNA from 1 species